rnacentral:rRNA from 1 species
GCUUACGGCCAUAUCAGCCUGGGUAUCGUCUGAUCUCGGAAGCUAAGCGGGUCGGGCCUGGUUAGUACUUGGAUGGGAGACCGCCUGGGAAUACCAGGUGCUGUAAGCA